CGCGAAGUAGAGCAGCGGUAGCUCGUCGGGCUCAUAACCCGAAGGUCACUGGUUCGAUCCCAGUCUUCGCAA
rnacentral:tRNA from 4 species